rnacentral:rRNA from 1 species
UGCCUAGAGACAAACUAUUCUAGGUACCACCUGCCCAGUGAUUUUUCAUUAAACGGCCGCGGAAACCCGUGCAAAGGUAGCAUAAUCACUUGCCCUCUAAUUAAGGGCCUGUAUGAACGGAUAAACGAGAAAUUUCCUGUCUCUUGGGCACAACUAAAACCUAUCCUUUAUGUGAAAAGACAUAAAUAAUUAUAGUAGACAAGAAGACCCUACUGCACUUCAUUAUUUAAGAUCGUAAAAACUAUCUAAUUAAUUUGGUUGGGGCGACACCGGAUUCUUCCAUCCAUCCAAAUUUAAAAAGGACGCCCAUCCACAUAAAUUGACCCUCCUAAGAUUAAAGAACAAGCCACCAUAGGGAUAACAGGCCAAUCCCCUCAUAGAGCCCAUAUCGACGAGGGGGGUUGGCACCUCGAUGUUGGCUUAGGGUAUCAUAUAGGCGCAGCCGCCUAUAAAUGAAGGUUUGUUCAACCUACCAAACCCU